UCAUUGUAAUCUCACUACCAUUGACUUUGGUCUUUUGGUAUGUGGACUUGGAUGUUGCCGUCGAUGUCUACGGCUCGUCUGAAAUGCUUCAGUGUACCCCGCUUUGCGGCGUAUUCGGUGUGAUACAUCUUCACCGGAGUUGAUCCUUUUGGGGGUCGCGUCUGUAAUGUGUGGCUCUAUGCUUCCAACCGUCUCUCGAGACAAUCUCUGACAAUUUGACCUCAAAUCGGGUGGGACUACCCGCUGAACUUAAGCAUAUCAAUAAGCGGAGGAAAAGAAACUAACAAGGAUUCCCCUAGUAACGGCGAGUGAAGAGGGAAAAGCUCAAAUUUUGAAUCUGGUGUCUUUGACUCCCGAGUUGUAAUCUAGAGAAGUGUUUUCCGUGUCGGACCGUGCACAAGUUCCCUGGAACGGGGCGUCAUAGAGGGUGAGAAUCCCGUAUAUGGCACGGACUGCCGAUGCUUUUGUGAUACACUCUCAACGAGUCGAGUUGUUUGGGAAUGCAGCUCAAAAUGGGUGGUAAAUUCCAUCUAAAGCUAAAUAUUGGCGAGAGACCGAUAGCGAACAAGUACCGUGAGGGAAAGAUGAAAAGCACUUUGGAAAGAGAGUGAAACAGUACGUGAAAUUGUUGAAAGGGAAGCGUUUGAAGUCAGUCGUAUCUGGCGGGAUUCAGCUGGGCUUUUGCCCGGUGUACUUCUCGUCCGAUGGGUCAGCAUCAAUUUCGACCGGGGGAAAAAGAUGUGGGGAAUGUGGCUGUCUACGGGCAGUGUUAUAGCCCCAUGUUGUAUGCCUCGGUUGGGAUUGAGGAACGCAGCGCGCCUAUAGGCCAGGGGCUACCCGCCUCUUGACACGCGCUUAGGAUGCUGGCAUAAUGGCUUUAAGCGACCCGUCUUGAAACACG
rnacentral:rRNA from 1 species